rnacentral:lncRNA from 1 species
UCUAUGCGAAACAGUCUGGUUGGCACAACUACGCCGAAUCCUGCAGAACUUAGGAAGUCAGUAACAGGGAACUUCUGAAGAUUGUCUGUUAAUUUAGCGAGAUUUCCAGCACAGACAAAGGCAUGGCCAUGAAUUCCUAGAUCCCUGAGCGGCUUCAGAGGCAGAUCAAAUGACAGGUCAGCAAAGGCUGUCACUGCUAUGUCACCUCUCCAUCAGCAGCCUGAAGUCUCUAAAGUAAGAAAUUUCAGUGCCUGGGUCGCAAUUGGCAAGCCUCAUUACAUUUGGGACCCACUUUGCAUGCCUCUCAGGAUUUAACAAUGGGGCCGAGAAUUGUUUUGGCUUGAGUGUUUCUCUCAUGUUCCAAAAGAGUGCACAACAAGACAGACACUAAAUUGAGGGGCUUCACAAUAACACAAACACAAUUCUUUAUUGGUUUUUUUUUUUUCAUCUGUUCUUCAUACCCAUGCUUCUGCAGGUACUUCUCAUACUCUGGCUGGAAGAAGUAAGUCCGGCAUGACCAUGGCACCUGCACAAUGGAUCACAGUAAGUACAGGAAUAACCGAGUCCCAAGUUGAGAAAUUUCCCAUCAAUCACAGUAAGCACAGGACAAUGUUUUCAAAGAGGAACAGAGCUUCCAGCACGCACAGCAUAAGCAUUUUGGUUCAAAUGAAAUGGUGCCAAGAUUGAUAAUCCUGCAAAUGGACAUCACAAAGGAAGAAAAGCACUCACCCCUUCUUGGUUCCUGGGGCACUUGAAGAACCUCUUGCCGCGAUUCUUCGUGUGCUCGCAGGUGAGUGCAAUCAGCCUCACGUCCCCUCACCUGGGGCAAUCGAUCAGCGGCAACCCCGUCACCCAAUCCACCGGGAACGGCUGCGAAACCCUAGCACUGGCGCUGGAUCCCCGGCUGCGCGCGGACAAGGCCUGCCCCAUGUCUGCUGCAGCGAGCGAGCAAGCACGGCCAGGGGUGGGACCGUGGGAAGCGAGGCCCUACGGCGCCGGCGAACAGGGCGAGCAGAGCGGAGUGGACUCGACCGUUUGAGUCUUCUAGGCUGGUUCGUCGGUUUAUAUUAUAUUAUUAUACCUUACUUUUAUUUGGACUGGAAAAAAGAAAUGGAGAAAAAGAAAAUAAAAUGUGAAGAAAAAAGGAUGAGAGAAAAAUAGAAACCAUUGGCAAACCUGGAUCAUGCAAACCUGCAAGGCCAGUCUUGUAAAAAGAUAACAUUUUUAGUCCUGUAAAAAAGAAAGCAUUUUUAGUUGGAUGCGUACAACAGUUAUAAAAAUGGCCGAAGAUAAUAACUCAUGUGUUAGUGAACAAUAUAUAGCCAAAAUUGGCAACAAAUAAUCAUGUCGGCACAAUAUCCAAUUAUGACUAGUUACUAAACAUACAAAUCUCAUUGCCCAUGCUCAAGCGUCCAUGUCGGCACCAUAUCCAAUUGGCAACAAAUCAUGACGGGAAAAGUUGUUCAUCUUUGCUUAGCAUAGCCACAAUUCGCAAGUACGAUCCCUUCUCACACUUUAAAACUAGAGGUAGACGGAGAGAAUUUUAGUACACAUUUCAGGAUUUGAGCCAUCUGUUCCUACUUUUUCUACACAAUACAGUCCCAGAAAUGGCCAACACUGUGCAGCUUGCCAACAAUCGUUUAUAUCUGGCUACUGUUGGCUUGUUCAAGCAGAUCUCUGGACAACACUGUUCCAUCAUUUCCAGUCCAAAACAUUCGCAUCAGCAUUGAAAACUUAAAUCCCCAACCUCAAUUGCUUUCCUUUUGCUUUUGUGCAUUACAAUUACAAGUCACAGCAUUUAAACCCAUGUCCUGGUACAAAAAAAUUAUCACUUAAACGUUACAGCAUGAGAGGCUUUCUUUUUACAUGUGGCAGUUGUACGCAGGCUCCUCCAUGAGAAGAUCAUAGUGAGGGGAGAAUAGGAAUACUCAAUUUAAAUAGAUAAUGCUGUGAGAGAAAUUAGGGCGAUGAGAAGUUAAACUGUAUGCCUGACUUCCCCCUGUCAUGAUCAAGCUGUUUUAGGAUGUAGCAGUAAUUCAUCUGGACAAGAGGAGAAAAACGUGUUAACUAAACUUAGGCCUUGUUUGGAUGUUGUCGGAUUCACUUCAAUCCAUGUGUAUUGGUGUGGAUUGGGGUGGAAUUUAGUUCAAAUUUCACUCCAAUCCACCUCAAUACAUGUGGAUUGAUGUGAAUCUGACUACAUCCAAACAAGGCCUUAUAUGUGGCAAAUUCAUCACCAACUUUAAUGUAAAAAACUGAAGAAUGCAAAGUGGAAAACCUCUAUGCGAAACAGUCUGGUUGGCAGAACAACGCCGAAUCCUGCUGAACUUCUGAAUGUUUGUAGGAAAUCAGUAACAGGGAACUUCCGAAGAUCAUAGUCCGUUAAUUUAACAAGAUUUCCAGCACAGACAAAAGCAUGGCCAUGAAUUCCUAGAUCCCUGAGCGGCUUCAGAGGCAGAUCAAAUGACAGGUCAGCAAAGGCUGUCACUGCUAAGUCACCUCCAAGACCAUUUAGCUCAGGAGAAGUGGAAGUGCCAUUGUCAGAAUUAUUGGGGUCAUGUGC